rnacentral:rRNA from 1 species
GAUGAACGCUGGCGGCGUGCCUAAUACAUGCAAGUCGAGCGGACGGACGGAAGCUUGCUUUUCUGAUGUUAGCGGCGGACGGGUGAGUAACACGUGGAUAACCUACCUAUAAGACUGGGAUAACUUCGGGAAACCGGAGCUAAUACCGGAUAAUAUUUUGAACCGCAUGGUUCAAAAGUGAAAGACGGUCUUGCUGUCACUUAUAGAUGGAUCCGCGCUGCAUUAGCUAGUUGGUAAGGUAACGGCUUACCAAGGCAACGAUGCAUAGCCGACCUGAGCGGGGGAUCGGCCACCCUGGAGCUGGGACACGGUCCAGAGUCCUACGGGAGGCAGCAGUAGGGAAUCUUCCGCAAUGGGCGAAAGCCUGACGGAGCAACGCCGCGUGAGUGAUGAAGGUCUUCCGAUCGUAAAACUCUGUUAUUAGGGAAGAACAUAUGUGUAAGUAACUGUGCACAUCUUGACGGUACCUAAUCAGAAAGCCACGGCUAACUACGUG